AAAAUGUAUAUGAUGUCUACUGAUUGAGGGCUUUUAGCAGAUGCUUG
rnacentral:snoRNA from 1 species